UGUUUAAAGGCAUUAAAACCACUUUCAUAACUUCAAUAUGACACUCUUAAUUAAGUUACUUAAAC
rnacentral:tRNA from 1 species